rnacentral:misc_RNA from 1 species
CAUUACGUAAACAUACUUGCAUAUGCAUGUGACCUACAACAGUCAAUAUAGCGAUAACAUAAAAAUUUCUACAAAUGUUCUGUUUAUUUUUCCUUUUUCCUCGCUCGCUUAUUGAAAAUGUUGAAACUCUCAGGAAUUCUAAUUAAAUUUAUUAACAAUUUCGAUAUCACAGAGGGAACCAGUGAUUUAUGUCAACAGAUUUGCGAUGUAAGCUGCCAUAAGCUGCAACCUCAAGUCUGGAGACUUUCCCAGUCUACUAAAUCGUUCGUCCCAAAUCGCCGCUAUUUUGCGAUGUACGGUGUCAAAAUGAACUUCGCCAGUGACCGUGGCGAGGAGAAUAUUCGCCGAGCUUCAUGAGAGAAUAUGAAGAUAUAAAAGGACACUAAGUCAGGACGCGG